AUUGAACGCUGGCGGCAUGCUUUACACAUGCAAGUCGAACGGUAACAGGCCUUCGGGUGCUGACGAGUGGCGAACGGGUGAGUAAUGCAUCGGAACGUGCCCAGAGGUGGGGGAUAACGCAGCGAAAGCUGUGCUAAUACCGCAUGUGAUCUGAGGAUGAAAGCGGGGGACCAGGCAGCAAUGUUUGGCCUCGCGCCUUUGGAGCGGCCGAUGUCAGAUUAGGUAGUUGGUGGGGUAAAGGCCUACCAAGCCGACGAUCUGUAGCUGGUCUGAGAGGACGACCAGCCACACUGGGACUGAGACACGGCCCAGACUCCUACGGGAGGCAGCAGUGGGGAAUUUUGGACAAUGGGCGCAAGCCUGAUCCAGCAAUGCCGCGUGCGGGAAGAAGGCCUUCGGGUUGUAAACCGCUUUUGUACGGAACGAAAAGGCUCUGGCUAAUACCUGGGGCUGAUGACGGUACCGAAAGAAUAAGCACCGGCUAACUACGUG
rnacentral:rRNA from 1 species